CGACAAGAAAAUGGCCACAUCUGCACGAAACUCAAAAACAAGCUAAGUUAGCUAAGUUAAGAAUAUUCAACAGCAACCCAGGGUUGUACCAUCUUUACUGUGGUAGUGGGCGUGUACGUACAGUUGCUGCUGCUAGCUACAAUGAUAAAUAUCUAGUGACUACAUUAAGCUAAAUUUUCUCGUCUGGCCGUUUCCUGGCAGCAUAGACUCUAUUCAGAUUUACGCGAAAUUAAACCGGCGUUGCGACUCUUAACGGAGAAAGCCCUGUGUAGCAUCUGAGCUAGCUAGUUAAUCCUUAAGUUACCAAAGACACAUAUAAGACUGUGACUUUAACGGACAACGGUGGUUCGACGUGCUCGCUAGCUAGAAAGAAAAAUCCUGAAAGCCUCAACAUCCUUAACGUAACAUUCACUGAUGUUAACGUCCAUAUUUUUAUGAAUAACCGUCGUAUUCGGAUCUCGCCAGCGUUAUUAGUAGCUGGGUUUCUGUCUACCAAGAUGUAUGGGAUGUCGGGAUGACAGGAAGAUGGCAAACGGGGUUGGAAAACAUAAGCUGCUUGUCAUUGGACCAACAGAGCCAUGGUCAGUGAGGGAGAAACUGUGUUUGGCCACAUCUGUCAUGAAGAGUGGAGACCAGAACUGGGUAUCUGUCAGCCGAGCCAUCAAACCAUUUGCAGAACCUGGGCGACCUCCUGACUGGUUCUCUCAAAAGCACUGUGCCUCCAAGUACUCUGAGCUCCUGGAAACAACAGAGGCCCCAAAGAGGAAGCGUGGUGAAAAGGGUGAGGUGGUGGAGACAGUGGAGGAUGUGAUAGUACGUAGGCUGACAGCUGAGAGGAUUGAUGAGCUAAAAAAGUUGAUCAAAGAAACACAGGAGAAGCACAGAACGCUGAAGAGAGAGGCUGAACUGAUUCAAGCAGGACAUCUAGAUUCGAAACUAGAGGAGUUAUGGGAAGAAAUUCUGCAGAAGAAGAAACAGGACGAGGAGGAAGCAGAGUUGAAAAGAAAAAACACAGAUGCUGCUUAUCAGGCAAGACAGGUGGCAAAGAGCACACCUAAGCGAGUGCCCGGUGUCACCAUGCAUUCGCCCUCAGGGUGUAGCUCCCCGGGCCAGGAUUUCUCACCAGGUGACCCACUCGAGAGCUUGACACUGGAUCUUGCGUCCGGCCACGGGUCACUUCUGGAUGACCCCACCCAAAAGAAACUCAUAGGGCAAAAAGCCACACCACCGCCAUCUCCGCUCCUGUCAGAGUUACUGAAGAAAGGCAGCAUCUUGGCCUCGAAUUCCAGACUGAUUGGAGAGGGUGAUGCUGGUAACAUGACCGGAGCACAUGACUCGCAGCUGGCUCCACCUAGUCAACCCCUCUCUCAGGCAACAGGUGCCCCGAUGUUGUCUCGCCUCCUGGAGGCGGGUCCCACCCAGUUUACUGCCCCACUAGGUUUCAUGGUCAGCGCAGACUCUGUCUCCAGCGCUGCUCUCUCUACUGCCACUCCUCUUCCUGUUGACUCCACUGCCUCAGCCAGUACAGAGGAUAAGGUGUCAGGCCUCACUGAGGACGAUGUGACUGUGUCCUACAUGGGAGAUGAGUUGGACCUGAAGACAGUGGGAGACAUUAUUGCCAUCAUUGAAGACAAGGCAGAUGAGGCUGCAGAGGCUUUAGAUGCAGCUGCAGUUGAAGCUGCUCUGUCCCUGUGUGAGGAGAAUGGCCAUGCUCUGUCUGGUGCCUGGGAGGCUGGGCCUUUCCAGCCCCACGAGUCCCACCCCACGGGGCCUGCGGGGGUCCCGCAGUCCUCGUCUCUUCACUGUGGCCUGGAGGGGAAGACAGAAGCGUUAGAAGUUCAGGAUGAGACUUCAGCUUCGCUCUCCUCUCUGUGCAGCAGUCAAGAUAACUGUCUUGCAGCAUUCCCCUUGGGACUAAGGAGCAUACUUCCCACCUCCUCAUCCUUGUGCAACUCGAAGAGUUUAGAGCACUGCCGCACUGGAGCACCCCCACGGCCUCAAGCAAUGAGAGAGACCAGAGAGGUGGUGCCCCUGAAAAGCCAGAUUUCAGCAGAUGUUACCAUAAAAUGUGAGAGUGAGAAGUGGGCACAGCAAAGACCUAAUAAAUCACAUGGAGACUCGGUAUUAGAAGAUAGCCCACUGACAGAAAGGCAUCCCAAGGAGAUGAGGGCCGAGAACGGAAUAAGUGUCAGGCAAGGAAGAAACGCCUCAGGGACUAAAGUGGACGACAACGAGGUCAAUGGGCCGGAAGCGUGUGGAGAGGAGGAGGGCGACGGGGCGGAGGGAUUCUUGUCAGAGCCGGACGGCGAGAUGGAGCUGGAACCCGCAGCCAGCGAGAGCGAGGAUGGGUACAGCCUCCACACGGCCUCCUCAUCUCUGCAGCUCCACACGACCGCGGACUCCAUCCCCAGCAGCCCUGCCUCGUCGCAGUUUUCUGUGUGCAGUGAGGACCUGGAAGCACUACAGGCUCACAAGAUAUGGAAGAAAGCCAUUAUGCUGGUGUGGCGUGCAGCGGCCAAUCACAGGUACGCAAAUGUCUUCCUGCAGCCAGUAACAGAUGAAAUUGCACCUGGAUAUCACAGUAUUGUGCACAGGCCCAUGGACCUCGCCACCAUCAAAAAGAACAUUGAGACCGGUUUGAUACGGACCACCGCAGAGUUCCAGAGGGACAUCAUGCUGAUGUUUCAGAACGCCGUCAUGUACAACAGCCUGGAUCACGACGUGUACCACAUGGCCCUGGAGAUGCAGCGUGACGUCCUUGAGCAGAUCCAGCAGUUUCUAGCUACCCAGCUCAUCAUGGAGACUUCAGAGUCUGGUAUCAGCGCCAAGAGUCUGAGGGGCCGUGAGAGCACACGCAAACAGGACUCUACUGACAAGGUGCUUCACUAGAAUUUUGACAAAAGCAGAGAGUACAGAAGAAGAGACAAGGGUGAGACAACAGGCUGACUUAAAGGACACUGUCUCCAUGUCUUCUCCUGCCUUCCUUCUUUCUCUUUUUGACGGAGGCACCAGAGGGCGCCGUUGUGCCAUAGAAGCCGACCUCAAGAUGAAAAAAUGAACAUACAGGAUGAACAUUUUGCCAAGUAUCCCCAAGUCGUAGUGAAAGGUGCAAAACCACAAGACUGAAUUUACUCUCUGUCAGUUGCACAGAUUCUCACUCUGCAUAAUGUGCAGCGUAUCCUUUAUUUGCACUCUAGAUUAAAUGGGUAGACUGUAAUGUGGAGAAGCUCAAGUUGCUCUGAGACAGCCAUACAGACAUGGAUUACAUACUGUAUAAUCCCAGAUUACAAUGGGGCAUUGAGAAAGACUAGGUCAAACCUUCCAUAGACGUAGCUGCAGAUCAGACUUACUUUGCCUGCUCUGCAUUUCAUCAGGUUAUACCAAUAAAGAUAAAAGUUACUCCCAGCCUACAAACGGGGCUGAAAUGAAGCCUGCAGAGGGUCCAGUUUAACUCAGAUUAGUGUGCUUGAUUUUGAUCAUAUGUAAAACCAGAGGCCAAAGAGUCUGAUUAAUCUAAUUUCUGAGCCCAAAAACUGAAUGUUCAGGGGGGCGUAUACUAAUUUCAAACAGAAACAUUUCAUUUCAUAUAAAAUCUUUUCCAUUUUUUCUCUUUUUUUUAGCUUUUCAAUUUUAAAAACUUUCAAAUGUUUGUGAUUAAUUGAUUUUAUCUAUGGUACACUUCCUGUGAAACGGUAUCACAAUACAUACCUUCAGUGUUUUCAGUGUUUUAGAAAAAACGUCAUGUUAAUUAUCUGUUUUGUGGACUUUAAAAUGUUAAAAUAGAACUGUAUAAAGAGCCCCAAACAUACUAACUUGAAUUUGCAUUUUUUUUUUUUACAUCAGUGCCAACCCAAAACACACCACAUCAGUAACUGUUGCAACCUAACUUUGAUGUUUAAGAGCUCAUUUCUCUUCUUUUUCUUUUUCUUUUUUUGUGCAAAAACAAGUGAAAAAAGGUCUAAUCUUCCUUUGGGGGAUUUAAAUAGUUGGAAUUUUAUAUCCUUUUUUUAAGUAUAAAAGUCUGUUUUGCCUAAUUUGUGACUGAUGUUUAAUGUACUGUAUCAGAGUGGGGAAGUUUGCAGAUUUUCUCAGGAUUGGGUUUAAAAAUCUGUUGAAGCUGCAGUGGCCACACUGCAACAAGCUGAGUUAACGUGAGCAUUACAAGAAAAAUAAGUUACCGCUAUUGUGUUUCAUAUAACUUCUCUGAACUGUUGUUACGUAACGCUGUCUACACAAAGAGGGGACACAGCAUCUUCCACUCUGAUGUUGGACCAAUAAUAAUGAAGGAUUUUACAUAUUGGGUUUUGUUAAGUCAUGUUCAGUGUUAUGUAAAUUGGCCUGAUUAAUAAAACUCAUUCAUAGCUUUUACUGAA